rnacentral:rRNA from 1 species
UACGUAGGAGGCAAGCGUUAUCCGGAAUGACUGGGCGUAAAGGGUGCGUAGGUGGUUUGACAAGUUGGUAGCGUAACUCCGAGGCUCAACCUCGGCACUACUACCAAAACUGUCGGACUUGAGUGCAGGAGGGGCAAAUGGAAUUCCUAGUGUAGCGGUGAAAUGCGUAGAUAUUAGGAGGAACACCAGCGGCGAAGGCGGCUUACUGGACCGUGACUGACGUUGAGGCACGAAAGCGUGGGGAGCAAACAGG